AAGAAGGGAUUCAAUGGGUCCAGAGAUGGAUACAACUUUAAACAAGAUGGAUGAGCAGAUCACUGAUAUUGUCACCGAUCGAGAAAGAGCAGCUCUUGAGGGAUUGCCAAUUUUUCUUCGUAAAAAUUAUGCUUGCUUUCUCAAGAUAUGUCUGGACACGGACCCUGAAGACCACAGCACCAGAGAUUAAAGGAUUGGAAUCUUCACUGUGGUG